rnacentral:rRNA from 1 species
CCUACGGGGCGCAGCAGUGGGGAAUAUUGGACAAUGGGGGCAACCCUGAUCCAGCCAUGCCGCGUGUGUGAAGAAGGCCCUCGGGUUGUAAAGCACUUUCAGUGAGGAAGAACGCCUGGUGGUUAAUACCCAUCAGGAAAGACAUCACUCACAGAAGAAGCACCGGCUAACUCCGUGCCAGCAGCCGCGGUAAUACGGAGGGUGCGAGCGUUAAUCGGAAUUACUGGGCGUAAAGCGCGCGUAGGUGGCUUGAUAAGCCGGUUGUGAAAGCCCCGGGCUCAACCUGGGAACGGCAUCCGGAACUGUCAAGCUAGAGUGCAGGAGAGGAAGGUAGAAUUCCCGGUGUAGCGGUGAAAUGCGUAGAGAUCGGGAGGAAGACCAGUGGCGAAGGCGGCCUUCUGGACUGACACUGACACUGAGGUGCGAAAGCGUGGGUAGCAAACAGGAUUAGAUACCCCAGUAGUC